rnacentral:rRNA from 1 species
AGAGUUUGAUCAUGGCUCAGAACGAACGCUGGCGGCAUGCCUAACACAUGCAAGUCGAACGAGAAAGUCCUUCGGGAUGAGUACAGUGGCGCACGGGUGAGUAAUGCAUAGGAACGUACCUUUAGAUGGGGAACAACUACGGGAAACCGUAGCUAAUACCGCAUGAUCAGGUAACUGUAAAGGUGGCCUCUACUUGUAAGCUACCGUCUAAAGAGCGGCCUAUGUCCCAUUAGCUAGUUGGCGGGGUAAAAGCCCACCAAGGCGACGAUGGGUAGCUGGUCUGAGAGGACGAUCAGCCACACUGGAACUGAGACACGGUCCAGACUCCUACGGGAGGCAGCAGUGGGGAAUAUUGCACAAUGGGCGCAAGCCUGAUGCAGCAAUGCCGCGUGAGUGAAGAAGGCCUUCGGGUCGUAAAGCUCUUUCGAUAGAGAAGAAGUGCAGGCAUAAAAAUAUUAUGUUUGUAUGACGGUAUCUGAAGAAGAAGCACCGGCUAACUCUGUGCCAGCAGCCGCGGUAAUACAGAGGGUGCGAGCGUUGUUCGGAAUUACUGGGCGUAAAGAGCACGUAGGCGGGCUUACCUGCCAAUUGUGAAAUCCCCGAGCUCAACUUGGGAAUUGCAGUUGGAACAGUAAGUCUUGAAUGUCUCA